AGGCCCGAUGUUGUUAGUUCUAUU
rnacentral:siRNA from 1 species